rnacentral:rRNA from 1 species
UACAGAGGGUGCGAGCGUUAAUCGGAAUUACUGGGCGUAAAGGGCGCGUAGGCGGCCUUCUAAGUCGAACGUGAAAUCCCUGGGCUCAACCCAGGAACUGCGUCCGAUACUGGGAGGCUUGAAUCCGGGAGAGGGAUGCGGAAUUCCAGGUGUAGCGGUGAAAUGCGUAGAUAUCUGGAGGAACACCGGUGGCGAAGGCGGCAUCCUGGACCGGCAUUGACGCUGAGGCGCGAAAGCCAGGGGGGCAAACGGG